rnacentral:rRNA from 1 species
UACAAUGGCGUAAACAAAGGGAAGCGACCCCGUGAGGGUGAGCAAAUCUCAAAAAUAACGUCUCAGUUCGGAUUGUAGUCUGCAACUCGACUACAUGAAGCUGGAAUCGCUAGUAAUCGCGAAUCAGAAUGUCGCGGUGAAUACGUUCCCGGGUCUUGUACACACCGCCCGUCAAGCCAUGGGAGCCGGGGGUGCCUGAAGUACGUGACCGCGAGGAGCGUCCUAGGGCAAAACUGGUGACUGGGGCUAAGUCGUAACAAGGUAUC